UUCUGUUUGGGACUCAGGAGAUGUGAAUGGAAGGUUGCUUUGGCACAGUGGAAACCAUUUUUAUGUUCAGUAUGAUUAAAAUAAAAGCUGUCUUUAUCGAGGUCAAGAGGACAUGAUGUGCCCUGAAGGCUCUCGCUGUGCCUGAAGACUGAACACAGAGAAUCCUGCAGGAGUUGAUGCGGAGACGUGACCCCACAUCCACCUGACACGAGGAUUUGAGAGUUUCGAGGUGUAAAUAAAUCCCACACUAACAUGAACCCUCAUUAUACUUCCUUUAAUCUAACCAAACCAACUAAAACCAUUCCCAUAUCUUCGCUCUUUGACAAAUCUCUGCCUUAUACCCAAAUCACAGAUAAAUACAUUUGAAUUAUAAUAAUCUUAUUGCUGAAGUUACCAUUAAAACCUGUAAUAUGCAAAGGAAUUAAGUGAAGGACUACUCAAACCUUUUAUGUCUCUGUCAGAAGUAAAAGUAGCUUCAUCCAGCUGAUUUAAAGAGUGGUAUUAUUAUAAGAAAUAUUACAUUUUGAUUAUUUAACGUGUAAAAACCAUUUGUUAUAUCUUAGCAUUCUACAAAAAUGGAUGUUAUAUGAUUAACAGAUACUGCAGGAAGCUGGUUAAAUGCCAAAGGUGCUUUAAAUAAAGUCAUGCAUUGAAGAUCUUACUCAAGGAGAAGUAUGCACAAUGAAGUAGAAGGCAGUCAUUUGCAAAACAUUUUUCAUCAUUCUGACUGAAUCAAAUUAAAAGCUGAUUUUGGUUAAGCCUGUAAAAUGCAAA